UACGUAGGUGACAAGCGUUGUCCGGAUUUACUGGGCGUAAAGAGCGCGCUGGCGGUCGAUCAAGUCGCGUGUGAAAGCCCCCGGCUCAACUGGGGAGGGUCACGCGAUACUGAUCGACUGGAAGGCAGGAGAGGGUAGUGGAAUUCCCGGUGUAGUGGUGAAAUGCGUAGAUAUCGGGAGGAACACCAGUGGCGAAGGCGACUACCUGGCCUGUUCUUGACGCUGAGGCGCGAAAGCUAGGGGAGCAAACGGG
rnacentral:rRNA from 1 species